AUGGCUUCUGGAUUUGAUAUUUAACUGAAAUCGCAUAUGAAAAUCUGCUCUCAUUUGGUUAGAUAUUACAAUUGAACAGCAGACAAAAUGUCGUCCUUGGUUAACAUACUGGCGGUGCUUGCUUUGGGAUUAUUCCAUCUUACUCAUGGAAUGUACACGAGAGAGAAGUUAACUGUUAAUGUACCGUUGGCGGCUGGUGAAAAACAACGUGUACCAUUUGAUGAGGCCGUGUAUGACAGUGAACAUAACUUCCAUCCCCAAACUAGAACUGUUGAUAUCACCAAGAAAUGGCAUUACUAUAUCGAGGCGCAUGUGUCGAUCUCUGGAUUAGAGCCAGGGAAAAACGCUGGGGUCAAGGUCCAGCAUGAAGAUAAAAACGGACAGACAACAACACUAAAGGAAUGCCAUACAAACGAUGACAAGGUCCGACGUAAUCUGUGCAAGAUGGAUACUAAAACCUCUCUUGACAAUGGUGAUAAAAUUUAUGUAGAAGUUCUCUCAGAGAGCGAUGCCGUGAUUACACCAGAAGGAACCUAUAUUUUCUUGUCCGAGAUACACAUGGAUUAUGUGAACAGCAAGUGAAAUCAUAAUUGUAAUAACUCAGUCUAAAUAGUAAAUGAAAUGAAGUUUAA